GUAGAGCACUGUUUGGACGAGGGGCCCCUCUCGGGUUACCGAAUUCAGACAAACUCCGAAUGCCAAUUAAUUUAACUUGGGAGUCAGAACAUGGGUGAUAAGGUCCGUGUUCGAAAGGGAAACAGCCCAGACCACCAGCUAAGGUCCCAAAAUAUAUGUUAAGUGGAAAAGGAUGUGGCGUUGCCCAGACAACUAGGAUGUUGGCUUAGAAGCAGCCAUCAUUUAAAGAGUGCGUAAUAGCUCACUAGUCGAGUGACACUGCGCCGAAAAUGUACCGGGGCUAAACAUAUUACCGAAGCUGUGGAUUGUCCUUUGGACAAUGGUAGGAGAGCGUUCUAAGGGCGUUGAAGCAUGAUCGUAAGGACAUGUGGAGCGCUUAGAAGUGAGAAUGCCGGUGUGAGUAGCGAAAGACGGGUGAGAAUCCCGUCCACCGAUUGACUAAGGUUUCCAGAGGAAGGCUCGUCCGCUCUGGGUUAGUCGGGUCCUAAGCUGAGGCCGACAGGCGUAGGCGAUGGAUAACAGGUUGAUAUUCCUGUACCACCUAUAAUCGUUUUAAUCGAUGGGGGGACGCAGUAGGAUAGGCGAAGCGUGCGAUUGGAUUGCACGUCUAAGCAGUAAGGCUGAGUAUUAGGCAAAUCCGGUACUCGUUAAGGCUGAGCUGUGAUGGGGAGAAGACAUUGAGUCUUCGAGUCGUUGAUUUCACACUGCCGAGAAAAGCCUCUAGAUAGAAAAUAGGUGCCCGUACCGCAAACCGACACAGGUAGUCAAGAUGAGAAUUCUAAGGUGAGCGAGCGAACUCUCGUUAAGGAACUCGGCAAAAUGACCCCGUAACUUCGGGAGAAGGGGUGCUCUUUAGGGUUAACGCCCAGAAGAGCCGCAGUGAAUAGGCCCAAGCGACUGUUUAUCAAAAACACAGGUCUCUGCUAAACCGUAAGGUGAUGUAUAGGGGCUGACGCCUGCCCGGUGCUGGAAGGUUAAGAGGAGUGGUUAGCUUCUGCGAAGCUACGAAUCGAAGCCCCAGUAAACGGCGGCCGUAACUAUAACGGUCCUAAGGUAGCGAAAUUCCUUGUCGGGUAAGUUCCGACCCGCACGAAAGGCGUAACGAUUUGGGCACUGUCUCAACGAGAGACUCGGUGAAAUCAUAGUACCUGUGAAGAUGCAGGUUACCCGCGACAGGACGGAAAGACCCCGUGGAGCUUUACUGUAGCCUGAUAUUGAAAUUCGGCACAGCUUGUACAGGAUAGGUAGGAGCCUUUGAAACGUGAGCGCUAGCUUACGUGGAGGCGCUGGUGGGAUACUACCCUAGCUGUGUUGGCUUUCUAACCCGCACCACUUAUCGUGGUGGGAGACAGUGUCAGGCGGGCAGUUUGACUGGGGCGGUCGCCUCCUAAAAGGUAACGGAGGCGCUCAAAGGUUCCCUCAGAAUGGUUGGAAAUCAUUCAUAGAGUGUAAAGGCAUAAGGGAGCUUGACUGCGAGACCUACAAGUCGAGCAGGGUCGAAAGACGGACUUAGUGAUCCGGUGGUUCCGCAUGGAAGGGCCAUCGCUCAACGGAUAAAAGCUACCCCGGGGAUAACAGGCUUAUCUCCCCCAAGAGUUCACAUCGACGGGGAGGUUUGGCACCUCGAUGUCGGCUCAUCGCAUCCUGGGGCUGUAGUCGGUCCCAAGGGUUGGGCUGUUCGCCCAUUAAAGCGGUACGCGAGCUGGGUUCAGAACGUCGUGAGACAGUUCGGUCCCUAUCCGUCGUGGGCGUAGGAAAUUUGAGAGGAGCUGUCCUUAGUACGAGAGGACCGGGAUGGACAUACCUCUGGUGUACCAGUUGUCGUGCCAACGGCAUAGCUGGGUAGCUAUGUGUGGACGGGAUAAGUGCUGAAAGCAUCUAAGCAUGAAGCCCCCCUCAAGAUGAGAUUUCCCAACUUCGGUUAUAAGAUCCCUCAAAGAUGAUGAGGUUAAUAGGUUCGAGGUGGAAGCAUGGUGACAUGUGGAGCUGACGAAUACUAAUCGAUCGAAGACUUAAUCAA
rnacentral:rRNA from 1 species